GGCCAGCACGGUCUCCACCUGCAGCACCACUUCCCCGAUUGGCCGCUCCACGCCGCAACCUGCCACACAUCAGCACCUCAUUACGACAGCGCCCCCUGCAGGGCGGCCAUACAAACAUCCUGCAUUCCAGCCCGACUAAAUCAGAAGAGUGAAAAUAAAGGCUGAAAGGGCAAAAGUGCGCCCUCUGCUGUACGGCCAGGGAAUGACAGCCAGAUGGGAAGCGGCCAAUCACGUGUGGAGGGGGCGUGGCCAAAGUCUCACCUCUGUCAGGCGGCGUCUUCUCAUUGGCUGUGAUCCUGACCCCCAUGCCGCCGUGGACUGGUUGGCCAGGAGAGGGAAGACACGGUUGGAUAGACCUUUGGCGGCUGUCAGCAGCUGAGCACCCUGCGUGGACACCACAUAGACAUAGAAUGCAUAGAUGGACACGACAUAGACAUAGAACGCAUAGAUGAACACGACAUAGACAUAGAACGCAUAGAUGGACACGACAUAGACCGCAUAGAUGGACACGACAUAGAACGCAUAGAUGGACACGACGUAGACAUAGAACGCAUAGAUGGACACGACAUAGACAUAGAACGCAUAGAUGGACACGACGUAGACAUAGAAUGCAUAGAUGGACACCACGUAGACAUAGAGCGUAUAGAUGGACACGACAGACAUAGAACGCAUAGAUGGACACGACAUAGACAUAGAAUGCAUAGAUGGACACGACGCAGACACGACGCAGACAUAGAAUGCAUAGAACGCAUAGAUGGACACGACGCAGACAUAGAACGCAUAGAUGGCCACGACAUAGAACGCAUAGAAGGCCACGACAUAGAACGCAUAGAUGGACACGACAUAGACCGCAUAGAUGGACAUGACAGACAUAGAACGCAUAGAUGGACACCACAUAGACAUAGAACGCAUAGAUGGACACGACGUAGACAUAGAACGCAUAGAUGGACACGACGUAGACAUAGAAUGCAUAGAUGGACACCACGUAGACAUAGAGCGUAUAGAUGGACAUGACAGACAUAGAACGCAUAGAUGGACACGACAUAGACAUAGAACGCAUAGAUGGACACGACAUAGACCGCAUAGAUGGACACCACAUAGACAUAGAAUGCAUAGAUGGACACCACAUAGACAUAGAACGCAUAGAUGGACACCACAUAGACAUAGAACGCAUAGAUGGACACGACAUAGACAUAGAACGCAUAGAUGGACACGACGUAGACAUAGAAUGCAUAGAUGGACACGACAUAGACAUAGAAUGCAUAGAUGGACACCACGUAGACAUAGAGCGUAUAGAUGGACACGACAGACAUAGAACGCAUAGAUGGACACGACAUAGACAUAGAAUGCAUAGAUGGACACGACGCAGACACGACGCAGACAUAGAAUGCAUAGAACGCAUAGAUGGACACGACGCAGACAUAGAACGCAUAGAUGGCCACGACAUAGAACGCAUAGAAGGCCACGACAUAGACCGCAUAGAUGGACACGACAUAGACCGCAUACAUGGACACGACAUAGACAUAGAACGCAUAGAUGGACACCACAUAGACAUAGAACGCAUAGAUGGACACGACGUAGACAUAGAAUGCAUAGAUGGACACGACAUAGACAUAGAGCGUAUAGAUGGACACCACGUAGACAUAGAGCGUAUAGAUGGACAUGACAGACAUAGAACGCAUAGAUGGCCACGACAUAGAACGCAUAGAAGGCCACGACAUAGACCGCAUAGAUGGACACGACAUAGACCGCAUAGAUGGACAUGACAGACAUAGAAUGCAUAGAUGGACACCACGUAGACAUAGAGCGUAUAGAUGGACAUGACAGACAUAGAACGCAUAGAUGGACACGACAUAGACAUAGAAUGCAUAGAUGGACAUGACAGACAUAGAAUGCAUAGAUGGACAUGACAGACAUAGAAUGCAUAGAUGGACAUGACAGACAUAGAAUGCAUAGAUGGACACCACAUAGACAUAGAAUGCAUAGAUGGACAUGACAGACAUAGAAUGUAUAGACGACCAUGACAUAGGACGCAUAGAUGGACAUGACCUAGAAGUGUAGAGCAUUGGCGUGCUGGGCGUUACCAGACUGUCGUUGCUGCGUGGUAACACGAUGCUCCUCUCCAGGCUCCCCAGGACCAUCUUCCAUAAGUCCUUCAGGAUCCUCUUCAGCACAGACUUCUCACACACGUCGGCAAACACGCUCAGGCUGCACACACACACACACACACACACACAAUCAAUACCAAGUGAAAGGCCAGCAGGGGGAGGGGG